rnacentral:rRNA from 1 species
UACGAAGGGGGCUAGCGUUGCUCGGAAUCACUGGGCGUAAAGGGGGCGUAGGUGGCCGUGUAAGUCCGGUGUGAAAAGCCACGGCUCAACCGUGGGACUGCGCUGGAAACUACACGGCUUGAGGACGGUAGAGGGAGACGGAACUGCUGGUGUAGGGGUGAAAUCCGUAGAUAUCAGCAGGAACGCCGGUGGAGAAGUCGGUCUCCUGGGCCGUUCCUGACGCUGAGGCCCGAAAGCUAGGGGAGCAAACCGG